GACCUUAAUUCCAUUAAGCCCCCUUCUGUCUUCUCACUCCCACCGUCCCACGCACGUCGGUGCGUCUCGCCGCCGGCUGAUCUCUAGAUUAUCUCGCCGUCACCGACGAUUAAGCUCGCCGCUACCCAGAUUCGCAGCCGGCCACCAUGCCAGGUCCACCACCGACCCAAACAGCCCAACCAGACCCAAAACCCAACAACAACCGCCGCCGUGUUCUCCUCUUCCUGGCGCCGCCACUUCUCGCGGUCGCCGUCGCCCUCCUCCUGGGCGCGUCCACCAACCCGCUACCCCGCCGCUUCCUCCGCGUUCUCCUCGGUCCUAAGCCCUCCGUUCUCCGCCCAGCAGCGCCUCGUCCCGCGGUCGACCUCUCCCCCGAUGCGGGACGCCCACCAUGUGUUCUAUGGAUGGCCCCAUUCGCCUCCGGCGGCGGGUACUGCUCCGAGGCCUGGUCCUACGUCGCCGCGCUUGACGCGCACGCUGACGCCUGGGCGGGCAAGAACUUCACGCUCGCCAUCGCCCACCACGGCGACCUUGAGUCGCCGGAGUUCUGGAUUGGCCUACCGGAGCCGUCCAAGAAUCUGGCGUACAGGCUCGCCGCCGCGCGUUGUGAGCUCGGGCGCGCCGUGGUCGUCUGCCACAGCGAGCCCGGCGCGUGGUAUCCGCCGAUGUACGAGGCCCUGCCCUGCCCGCCUACCGGGUACCACGAGCCGGCGUUCGUCAUUGGCCGGACUAUGUUCGAGACUGACCGCGUCUCGCCGGAGCACGUUAGGCGGUGCAAUCAGAUGGACGCUGUCUGGGUGCCGACGGACUUUCACGUGUCAACAUUUGUGAAGAGCGGCGUGGAUCCUGCCAAGGUUGUCAAGGUGGUGCAGGCGGUGGAUGUCGAGUUCUUUGAUCCAGCAAAGCAUGCAGCGCUUCCUCUGCCGAUUGGUGUGCCUGUCAUGGUGCCUGAAGGUUCCAUAUUGGAACAUGGUGACCCCAAAAGCAGAGGCUUUGUGUUUCUUAGUGUGUUCAAAUGGGAGCAGAGGAAGGGCUGGGAUGUGCUGCUGAGAGCAUUCUUGCAGGAGUUCUCUGGAGCUGAUGAUGUGGUACUCUACCUCCUAAUUAGUGCCUACCACUCUGACACAAACUUCAUUGGGAAAAUCCGCAGAUUUGUGAAAGAAUCAAGCAUUAAUGAGCCAGUGGAAGGAUGGGCUGAAAUCCGUGUUAUUGAUGUGCAUGUCCCUCAGUCAGCACUUCCAAGUUUGUACAAAGCUGCAGAUGCAUUUGUUCUGCCAACCCGUGGCGAGGGGUGGGGUAGACCGGUGGUUGAAGCCAUGGCCAUGGCUCUGCCAGUGAUUGUGACGAAUUGGUCAGGCCCAACAGAGUAUCUGACUGAGGAGAAUGGGUACCCAUUGAACGUGGACAGGCUGACUGAGGUCACAGAAGGACCAUUUAAGGGCCACCUAUGUGCGGAGCCAUCAGUUGAUCAUCUGAGGGCUUUAAUGAGACAUGUCUUUGGUGAUAGAGAGGAGGCAAGGAGUAAAGGGAAGAAGGCAAGGGAGGACAUGAUGGAGAGGUUCUCUCCAGAAAUCGUUGCAAGGAUUGUUGCUGAUAAGAUACAACAGGCUCUUGUCAAUACUCGGUCGACGGAAGAUUAAACUAUGACCACAAAGUGCCAGUGGAGAUUUGAUACACCAUGGAGGCAUAGAAUGCUAUGUACGGUGAUGCGGCGCGGGGACGGAGAAUGCUCAGUAGUAGCAGAACAACACCGGUGAUGGAACUGACGAUGAGAUUGUAACGCAAGAGAUUUCUCACGGCGGUGUUCAUCUAGAGAAAUAACACUAAAGGAAUGACGUACGGCUCCAUCCAAGGCAGAUCAAAAGAGAAAUACCCAACUCCAUCUGUCCUCAGCUCAUUGUGGACUAGUGGACUAAUAAUAACGAGUCCAAAGAUAUGUAGGUUUUGAGAUAAAAAUGGCAUCACUUGUUUCAUAUUUGAAUGUAGUUUCGUGUGAUUACAGAUUUUAUUGCAAAAAAAAGUAUGAUGUAGUAGAAGUUAAUAAUACUCGAAAUUAAUUAUGGAGAUUGGAGUG